rnacentral:lncRNA from 1 species
GGAGAAUUUGGAUGAGGCUCCAUUGUGGUGUAGAAAUAAAAAUCGAAUGCGCCCGCGUAUCUGGGCAGAGGAAUUCAUUCGCUGACAUGGAGCGUUGAUGACUGCGAAUGGAGGGGGUGAUGAGAUGUUGACAGGAUCUGGUAGAUCAUAUGAUGAAACGUGGCGCGGUGUGCAGCGAGUUAAAGAUGUUCUUGCAUUUGGGAGGACGCGAGCGUUCCGUGUUGACGGAAG